rnacentral:rRNA from 1 species
AGAGUUUGAUCCUGGCUCAGGACGAACGCUGGCGGCGUGCUUAACACGUGCAAGUCGAACGGAGAGAGAUGGGAGCUUGCUCCUAUUGAUCUUAGUGGCGAACGGGUGAGUAACGCGUAACCAACCUGCCCUUCAGUGGGGGAUAACAACGGGAAACCGUUGCUAAUACCGCGUACGAUUUCCGAGUGGCAUCGCUUGGAAAUGAAAGGUGGCCUCUAUUUAUAAGCUAUCGCUGAAGGAGGGGGUUGCGUCUGAUUAGCUAGUUGGAGGGGUAACGGCCCACCAAGGCAAUGAUCAGUAGCCGGUCUGAGAGGAUGAACGGCCACAUUGGGACUGAGACACGGCCCAAACUCCUACGGGAGGCAGCAGUGGGGAAUCUUCCGCAAUGGACGAAAGUCUGACGGAGCAACGCCGCGUGAGUGAUGACGGUCUUCGGAUUGUAAAGCUCUGUUAAUCGGGACGAAAGAGCUCUGUGUGAAUAAUGCAGAGAAGUGACGGUA